ACCUCCUUCACUGUGACUGACAGACAUAACGGCCACACCCCCUUUACUGGGACUGACACACAGAGGCCACACCCCCUUUACUGGGACUGACACACAGAGGCCACACCUUUACUGGGACUGACACAUAGAGGCCACACCUCCUUUACUGGACCUGACACAGAGGCCAUACCUCCUUUACUGGGACUGACACACAGAGGUUACACCUCCUUUAUUGGGACUGAUACUGUGCCUGUUGCUGUACCAAGGAUAUUAGAAUAAAUUUUUAUUUAUUUUCUCUAUUUUUUCUGUAGUUGUACCCGAGGAUUAAACCUCGACAGCGGUCCCUGGCGUAGCGCCCCCUGAUGGACAGGAGCCCCAGCUGAACAUUUUGCCCCCAUUUUCAUCUUUUAGUGCCACUAAAGAUAAGAGGAGUGUGGCAGCUAGAAACUGAGACUGAAGCUUGGAUUUAUUUAUCUGCCAGAAGAGAUUUGGUGAUCAGAGCUCCGUUUUCAGCCUGCAAAAUGGAUCUUAUUUGGAUCUUUUUUUUUUAAAAUCCUGUUCCCUUUCACCCACAUGUCUGUCGGGUGAAAACGCACCGGUUUUCCCGUUUCCUUUUGUACUAUUGUGUGUUUGAGGGACGUGAGAGUGAGGACAUUCUGAGACAGCUGAGGAAGAGAGAUUUGUAUAUUUUUGUUGGACAAAGGAAAGACUCGUUGGAUGGAUCGUUGUCUACUGAACGAAAGGAAGGAAGGAGUUAGAAAGUGCAGAGAGGCAGAGAUGUUGAAAUGAGAGCGCAGAGGAAAUGUUGAAGAGUGGUAUAAGAGAUGAAAAGUAGUAUGUUAAAUAAGUGAUGGUGGCAGUCAAGUCGUGAAAAAUGGUAUAAGUCUGCGUUUUCCAUCCAGGAGGAAAAAUAAAGGCAGCGCACACCUGCAUUUCUACGUUAAAGCCAAAUGUACACGAACAGCCGAGACGUGUUCGGCCACGAGGCUAAUGAGCCUCCAGUUUUGCAUAUCAUCUCACGUGCUCCACAAAAGUCAUUGUUCUGUUUUUAAAAAUAACAGAACGAAUCCUUUACAUAUGCAGUUAAACUGAUGGCCUUGUAGCUCAAGUGAAAAAAACGAAUGAAGCAAAUCCCAGACACCGACUGCGUCUCGGUAGAUUGUCUAUGUUUGGUGUUAAUAAAAUGUCAUUUAGCCUGAAUUGUUUCGUUUGCUGUAUUGAUCUCCUGUUUGUUUUUAAAAGCUCUUUAUAACGCAGACGCGAUGAAAUGCUUUAAGGGUUCUUGUGUAUGGGUGAUGUAUUUGGGAGCGAAUAAUAAUCAUAACAACAAUAAUAAUAAUAAUAAUAAUAAAAAUAAUAAUAAUAAUAAUAAUGCAGUGUAACAGGCCUGAUUCGGCAUCUGCAACAUCAUUCAUGCUACAUGCCAUGUAAAUGUGCACAAUAAAGACGUUCUCACAUUGGGAACCAUCAGAAUGACGGGUUGUUUAUUUUGUAUAAUAUAAUUAUUUUUCAAAUAAUUUUAGUAUGCAGUUAAUUCUAUGACGUGAUUAAUUGUGUUUUAAUUGUAAGAAAUAACCUGAUUUUGAGCAUCACAUCCCACAUUUGAGCAUUUCGGUCGAGGUUCGAAUUGACGGACUCGUUUAAAUCACACAUGAAGAGAAAAUACAUGUAAGGAAUGAACAGAAGUGGACUGAGUUUGAGUUUUAUACUCAGAUUUGGGAAUUUAAUCCAAUUGAAAAAAAGGACUUCUCUUGCUCUACGUUACACUUUAUGUAAUUACACAGAGAUCUGACUUUCUAUUCUGUACAGAUAUUUGAUUGAAGAUGUCAACAAUCAUUAGAGUUCUUAGAUAAAAAACAAAACAAAACAAAAACACUGACUGCAGCUUUAAUGUCAGAGCA
ensembl:lncRNA